rnacentral:rRNA from 1 species
GAAAGCCUACGGGACGCAGCAGUGAGGAAUAUUGGUCAAUGGGCGAAGGCCUGAACCAGCCAAGUCGCGUGAGGGAUUAAGGCCCUAUGGGUCGUAAACCUCUUUUGUCAGGGAGCAAGGCCUCUCACGUGUGGGAGGUUGGAGAGUACCUGAAGAAAAAGCAUCGGCUAACUCCGUGCCAGCAGCCGCGGUAAUACGGAGGAUGCGAGCGUUAUCCGGAUUUAUUGGGUUUAAAGGGUGCGUAGGCGGGACCUUCAGUCAGCGGGAAAAUUGCGGGGCUCAACGCCGUAGAGCCGUUGAUACUG